GAGUUUGAUCGUGGCUCAGAUUGAACGCCGGCGGCAGGCCUAACACAUGCAAGUCGAGCGGAUGACGGGAGCUUGCUCCUUGAUUCAGCGGCGGACGGGUGGGUAAUGCCUAGGAAUCUGCCUGGUAGUGGGGGACAACGUUUCGAAAGGAACGCUAAUACCGCAUACGUCCUACGGGAGAAAGCAGGGGACCUUCGGGCCUUGCGCUAUCAGAUGAGCCUAGGUCGGAUUAGCUAGUUGGUGGGGUAAUGGCUCACCAAGGCGACGAUCCGUAACUGGUCUGAGAGGAUGAUCAGUCACACUGGAACUGAGACACGGUCCAGACUCCUACGGGAGGCAGCAGUGGGGAAUAUUGGACAAUGGGCGAAAGCCUGAUCCAGCCAUGCCGCGUGUGUGAAGAAGGUCUUCGGAUUGUAAAGCACUUUAAGUUGGGAGGAAGGGCAGUAAGUUAAUACCUUGCUGUUUUGACGUUACCGACAGAAUAAGCACCGGCUAACUCUGUGCCAGCAGCCGCGGU
rnacentral:rRNA from 2 species